AGGACGAACGCUGGCGGCGCGCCUAAUACAUGCAAGUCGAGCGAGAACCAGGACUUCGGUCCUGGGGAGAGCGGCGAACGGGUGCGUAUCACGUGAGCAACCUGCCUCGGAGACCGGAAUAACUCGAGGAAACUCGGGCUAAUGCCGGAUGCCCUCGGUGGACCGCAUGGUCCGGCGAGGAAAUGGAUUCCGCUCCGAGAUGGGCUCGCGGCCUAUCAGCUUGUUGGUGGGUAACGGCCUACCAAGGCAACGACGGGUAGCUGGUCUGAGAGGACGAUCAGCCACACUGGGACUGAGACACGGCCCAGACUCCUACGGGAGGCAGCAGUAGGGAAUCUUGCGCAAUGGGGGAAACCCUGACGCAGCAACGCCGCGUGGAGGAUGAAGCCCUUGGGGUGUAAACUCCUUUCGAUCGGGACGAUUAUGACGGUACCGGAUGAAGAGCACCGGCUAACUCUGUGCCAGCAGCCGC
rnacentral:rRNA from 1 species